rnacentral:snRNA from 1 species
GUGCUCACUUCUGCAGCAAAUAUACUAAAAUUGGAAUGAUACAAAAAUAAGCAUGGCCCCUGUGCAAGGAUGACACGCAAAUUCAUGACAUGUUCCAUAUUUUU